rnacentral:tRNA from 1 species
GCCGAUCUAGCUCAGUUGGUAGAGCACCGGAGUGAAAUCCCGGAGGUCCCCGGUUCGAACCCUGGGGUCGGCA